ACCCCCCAGAGAAUGGAGGGGACGCUAGUGGAACCCAGACCCCCCCUAGAGAGAGAAUGGAGGGGGCACUGGGGAGAGUGAGCCUGAUGCCUCCCCCAACACACCCAGGGAACGGCGGGACCCCGCUGCCCCACCUGCUCCCAAGCACGUGGAGUUUGUAGAGGAUCCUGGCCGAGGAUCCCUGUCAGGGUCUCAGUCCAUCUUACUUGAUUUCCUGGCUGCAUCUCAGAGGAUUUUCUUUCACUGCACCUAUAUCCAAGAGGAGAGAUUUAAGGAAGAGGGAAUGGGCAGAGAAGGUAAAGAAGAUAAAGACAGGAAAGGAAGAAAAGAUAAGCAACAGAAAGAAAUGUUAGGAUUUCCAGGAGGGAAGUUUACAAGGAAUCUCCAUACACCUCUAGCAACAUCUGACCCAGUCAUCUGUAAACCUGUUUCCUAAGGGGUUUCUGCUCCAAAAGAAAAUUUUGAAUUCUCCA